rnacentral:rRNA from 1 species
UACGUAGGGUGCGAGCGUUAAUCGGAAUUACUGGGCGUAAAGCGUGCGCAGGCGGUUUUGUAAGCCAGAUGUGAAAUCCCCGGGCUCAACCUGGGAAUGGCAUUUGGGACUGCAAGGCUGGAGUACGGCAGAGGAGACUGGAAUUCCUGGUGUAGCAGUGAAAUGCGUAGAGAUCAGGAGGAAUACCGAUGGCGAAGGCAGGUCUCUGGGCUGAUACUGACGCUCAUGCACGGAAGCGUGGGGAGCAAACAGG